GUCUAAAAUUGGCUGAAACUAUUUCAAACCACUAUUUCAAGCUUGUUCUGAUUUUUCAUUGUAAACAAAUAUUGAUUAAAAAAAAUUGUACAGUGAUUUCAGGAGUGUCUUAAAAACCCUCUAAAACAGAGAGGACGUUCCAAGAAAAUGUCUAAUGGGAGCUGCGGACAGACAUAGAAAACACAGUUUGUUUAUUGCUAAUAAGGAGCUGGAGGCCGUUAAGAAACAGAUCCAUGAUAUUGUGGAGAAGCAGGCCCAGCUGAGCGAGUGGAGGGCUGUGCUGGAAAUAUUCAGGGGUUGAUGCUCAUGAGUCCAGGUUAAGUAUACAGCUAACCCUCCUACCACCUCUACUCUGUGUGGUUCUCUGCAAAGGCCCGGUGUACCCAGAACGCGAUCUUCCCAGAUGUCCUUCACCCUAUUUCACAGUGUAAGACAUGAACCAGGCCCUGGGCGACGACCUCUCUCCAUCCACCGCCUCCGGUCUUCAGGAUCUCCACCAGAACCCGAUUCGCUCCACUUCGCGAGACAGAACACGACGCUGUGAUCAUCGGAGACUCCAUCGUCCGGCCCGUUCAUGCUAUGUUAGCUGAAGGUAAAGUCCACACUCACUGUUUCCCUGGUGCUCAUGUUCUUGAUAUUUCUGCACAGAUUCCCAUGAUCCUGAAGGGUGAGGGGAGCAUCGGAGCGGACGUGCUUCACGCCGGGGUUAACGACACCAUGCUGCGGCAGACGGAGACACUGAAGAGAGACUUCAGGAGCCUGAUCAAGAUGGUGCGCAGCAUAUCGCCUGCAUGAUGAUCAUCUUGUCAGGACCACUUCCCACAUAUAGAUGAGGACAUGAAAGGUUCAGCAGACUUUUUGCUUUAAACGAAUGGUUAUUGUCAUGGUGUAAAGAACAGAAACUGCUUUUUGUUAAUAAUUGGAAUCUUUUCUGGGAGCGUCCUAGGCUUUUUAGAUCUCCUGUUGGACAACAUCUCCAGGACACUUCGCUCCAUAUGACUAGGCAGUUUGUGAAGACAGAUAAUCAAGAGAAGUCAGUUCCAGAUCCACCUUCCACACCAGACCUCUCUCUCACGAGGAUUGCUGUCUACUAGCAUACUGUGUUCUCUUCAGACUUCGGCGGAUGCAGAUAUUACUCAGGGACACGAACACUUGAAUAUUGCAAGAAUAGAGAAAGUAAGAAUUAAGAUUUUA